rnacentral:rRNA from 1 species
CCUACGGGUGGCAGCAGUGAGGAAUAUUGGUCAAUGGCCGGAAGGCUGAACCAGCCAAGCCGCGUGAAGGACGAAGGUGCCAAGCAUUGUAAACUUCUUUUGUCAAGGGACAAAAUCAGGCUCGAGAGCCUGACCGCGGGUACUUUAAGAAAAAGCAUCGGCUAACUCCGUGCCAGCAGCCGCGGUAAUACGGAGGAUGCGAGCGUUAUCCGGAAUGAUUGGGCGUAAAGGGUGCGCAGGCGGUCCUGCAAGUCUGGAGUGAAACGCAUGAGCUCAACUCAUGCAUGGCUUUGGAAACUGGAGGACUGGAGAGCAGGAGAGGGCGGUGGAACUCCAUGUGUAGCGGUAAAAUGCGUAGAUAUAUGGAAGAACACCAGUGGCGAAGGCGGCCGCCUGGACUGUUGCUGACGCUGAGGCACGAAAGCGUGGGGAGCAAAUAGGAUUAGAUACCCGUGUAGUC